AGCAUUGGAACCACCUGAUCCCAUCCCGAACUCAGCAGUGAAACGAUGCAUCGCCGAUGGUAGUGUGGGGUUUCCCCAUGUGAGAGUAGGUCAUCGUCAAGA
rnacentral:rRNA from 18 species